UUGAGAUACUUCUCCAUGGUAGCUGCUAUACCUUUUCUUUGUCUAUUUUUAAUUGUGAUUAUACUAUUAAUCUUUUCAACUUCCAAAGAUCAGGUAAUUACGGCCUCAUCACUAUUCUAGUAGCUCAUUUUCGACAAUGUAAAAGUAAUACAUAAAUAGUUCUCUAACGAAACAUAGCAGUAGUUCUCUUCCUCACUUCAUGAAAUUCCCCUCUUGUUUAAUAGUGAAAUUUAGCUGCUAUAAAGUUGGUUUGACUUUAGAGUUCUAGAAUUUUUACCAUUCUUAUCAUUUUUUGUCUUUUAGAUUACUUCAACUAUUGAAGCCAUGUUCUUUCUAUUUCCUGUUUGCUCAUCGAACUUUUUACUUUUUGUUAUCAGUAUUGAAGAAGCAAAGUACUUUCAGAGCAUAAAGAACCUGAUGUUUUAACAGAGAUGCAAAUGCCAAAGCAGAUUAGGAAUCUAUUCAGUAUUGGUUGAUCAUUGCUAGACCUUCAGAUGUCGAUAAUCCCUUUUUUUAGCGGACAUUUUGUAGAUUAUAUAUGUUGGCUCUUGAAUGAUCAAACAAUAUUGUAAAUUUUGCUAUUAUAUAUGGAUAAAAUAGUUGGAUAUUUUAAAUUA